rnacentral:rRNA from 1 species
UACGGAGGGUGCGAGCGUUUGUCCGGAUUUAUUGGGCGUAAAGCGCGGGCAGGCGGCCCCGUAAGUCGGCCGUGAAAGCGCCGGGCUCAACUCGGCGAGGACGGGCGAGACUGCGGGGCUCGAGCAAGGCAGAGGGCGGUGGAAUUCCGGGUGUAGUGGUGGAAUGCGUAGAGCUCCGGAGGAACACCACGUGGCGGAAGGACGGCCGGC